rnacentral:tRNA from 1 species
CCGCCCUUAGCUCAGUUGGUUAGAGCACAAAGCUUAUACCUUUGCGGUCCUUGGUUCGAAUCCAAGAGGGCGGACCA